CAUUUCCUACGGGAGGCAGCAGUAGGGAAUCUUCCACAAUGGACGAAAGUCUGAUGGAGCAACGCCGCGUGAGUGAAGAAGGGUUUCGACUCGUAAAGCUCUGUUGGUAGUAAAGAAAGAUAGAGGUAGUAACUGGCCUUUAUUUGACGGUAAUUACUUAGAAAGUCACGGCUAACUACGUGCCAGCAGCCGCGGUAAUACGUAGGUGGCAAGCGUUGUCCGGAUUUAUUGGGCGUAAAGCGAGUGCAGGCGGUUCAAUAAGUCU
rnacentral:rRNA from 1 species